rnacentral:tRNA from 2 species
GGGAGCGUGCCGGAAUUGGUAGACGGACUCGACUCAAAAUCGAGCGCCUUCGGGCAUGUGGGUUCGAGUCCCACCGCUCCCAUCA